rnacentral:rRNA from 1 species
CGGUUGAUCCUGCCGGACCUGACUGCUAUCGGAUUGAUACUAAGCCAUGCGAGUCAUUGUAGCAAUACAAGGCAUACGGCUCAGUAACGCGUAGUCAACCUACCCUAUGGACGGGAAUAACCUCGGGAAACUGAGUAUAAUGCCCGAUAGAACAUUAUGCCUGGAAGGGUUUAUGUUCCAAAUGAUUUAUCGCCGUAGGAUGGGACUGCGGCCUAUCAGUUUGUUGGUGAGGUAAUGGCCCACCAAGACUAUUACAGGUACGGGCUCUGAGAGGAGUGGCCCGGAGAUGGGUACUGAGACACGGACCCAGGCCCUAUGGGGCGCAGCAGGCGAGAAAACUUUGCAAUGUGCGAAAGCACGACAAGGUUAAUCCGAGUGAUUUCUGCUAAAGGAAUCUUUUGUCAGUCCUAGAAACACUAACGAAUAAGGGGUGGGCAAGUUCUGGUGUCAGCCGCCGCGGUAAAACCAGCACCUCAAGUGGUCAGGAUGAUUAUUGGGCCUAAAGCAUCCGUAGCCGGCUCUGUAAGUUUUCGGUUAAAUCUGUACGCUCAACGUACAGGCUGCCGGGAAUACUGCAGAGCUAGGGAGUGGGAGAGGUAGACGGUACUCGGUAGGAAGGGGUAAAAUCCUUUGAUCUAUUGAUGACCACCUG